rnacentral:rRNA from 1 species
AUACGGGGGGGGCAAGCGUUAUUCGGAAUUACUGGGCGUAAAGGGCGCGUAGGCGGCUUGGUAUGUCAAAGGUGAAAUCCCUGGGCUCAACCUAGGAACUGCAUUUGAUACUGGCAGACUAGAGUGUGGUAGAGGGUAGUGGAAUUCCCGGUGUAGCGGUGAAAUGCGUAGAUAUCGGGAGGAACAUCAGUGGCGAAGGCGGCUACCUGGACCAACACUGACACUGAGGUACGAAAGCGUGGGGAGCAAACAGGAUUAGAAACCCCGGUAGUCC